AUGGGAGACUUUAACGAGAUAUUAAGUAACGAGGAGAAGGGGGGUGGAGUGGAUAGAGCGGAGGGAUGCAUGAAUUCAUUCCGGGAGGCGCUUGAAGGGUGCAGGUUGAGUGAUUUGGGAUUCGAAGGGGACAUUUUCACGUGGUGGAACGGAUACAUAUGUGGUCGACUGGACAGAGCGGCGGCCAAUAUGGAGUGGUGUGAGGCGUUCCCGGAGUUCCGCGUGAGGAAUGAGCUGCCGCGGCAUUCGGAUCAUCGGCCUGUGGUG
rnacentral:rRNA from 1 species